UACGUAGGGGGCAAGCGUUGUCCGGAAUCAUUGGGCGUAAAGAGCGUGUAGGCGGCCAGAUAAGUCCGCUGUGAAAUCUCGAGGCUCAACUUCGAGCUGUCGGUGGAAACUGUCUGGCUAGAGUCCGGAAGAGGAGAAUGGAAUUCCUGGUGUAGCGGUGAAAUGCGCAGAUAUCAGGAAGAACACCCGUGGCGAAGGCGGCUCUCUGGUACGGAACUGACGCUGAGACGCGAAAGCGUGGGGAGCGAACAGG
rnacentral:rRNA from 1 species